ACUUUUCUAAUAUACCCAAGUAUAAAUGACUUCCAAUCAUUCAGUUUCAGUUAAACCCUGAAGAAAAGUA
rnacentral:tRNA from 1 species